ACUCAAAUGAAUUGACGGGGGCCCGCACAAGCGGUGGAUGAUGUGGUUUAAUUCGAUGCAACGCGAAAAACCUUACCUACCCUUGACAUGCCAGGAACUCUCCAGAGACGGAGAGGUGCCCGAAAGGGAGCCUGGACACAGGUGCUGCAUGGCUGUCGUCAGCUCGUGUCGUGAGAUGUUGGGUUAAGUCCCGCAACGAGCGCAACCCUUGCCAUUAGUUGCUACAUUUAGUUGGGCACUCUAAUGGGACUGCCGGUGACAAACCGGAGGAAGGUGGGGAUGACGUCAAGUCCUCAUGGCCCUUAUGGGUAGGGCUACACACGUCAUACAAUGGUCGGUACAGAGGGUUGCCAACUCGCAAGAGGGAGCCAAUCUCAGAAAGCCGAUCGUAGUCCGGAUCGCAGUCUGCAACUCGACUGCGUGAAGUCGGAAUCGCUAGUAAUCGCGGAUCAGCAUGUCGCGGUGAAUACGUUCCCGGGCCUUGCACACACCGCCCGU
rnacentral:rRNA from 1 species